rnacentral:rRNA from 1 species
UACGUAGGGUGCGAGCGUUGUCCGGAAUUAUUGGGCGUAAAGGGCUCGUAGGCGGUUUGUCGCGUCGGGAGUGAAAACCCAGGGCUUAACCCUGGGCUGGCUUCCGAUACGGGCAGACUAGAGGUAUGCAGGGGGGAACGGAAUUCCUGGUGUAGCGGUGAAAUGCGCAGAUAUCAGGAGGAACACCGGUGGCGAAGGCGGGUCUCUGGGCCGAAACUGACGCUGAGGAGCGAAAGCGUGGGGAGCAAACAGG